UACGUAGGGUGCGAGCGUUGUCCGGAAUUAUUGGGCGUAAAGAGCUCGUAGGCGGCCAACUAAGUCGGAUGUGAAAUCCCCAGGCUUAACCUGGGAACUGCAUCCGAUACUGGAUGGCUUGAAUCCGGGAGAGGGAUGCAGAAUUCCAGGUGUAGCGGUGAAAUGCGCAGAUAUCAGGAAGAACACCUAUGGCGAAGGCAGCUCUCUGGGACGGUACUGACGCUGAGACGCGAAAGCGUGGGGAGCGAACAGG
rnacentral:rRNA from 1 species